CCCGCAGAUACCCUAAGUCUGUGUUGUAAAGAGCAUAACUCUCUCUACAAAAUUCCAAAUUGAGUGAAACCAAUUUUGUAUGAAAGCUAACUCAUAGGGCUAUGUUGGGUAAUAUUUUCAUAAUUUUUCGAUUGCUGGUUCAAUACCAGAAUCAUUUGCAAGUUCAUUCUGUUUCUGCCCGCAAACACCCUAGCAACCUGUGUUGUAGAGAGCAUAACUUUCUCUAAAGAAUUCCGAAUUGAGUGAAACUAAUUUUGUAUGAAAGCUAACUCAUAGGGUUAUAUUGGAUAAUAUUUUCAUAAUUUUUGGGUUGCUGGUUCAAUACCAGAACUAUCUGCAAGUUAACUCUAUUUUUGCUCGCAGACACCCUAACAGCCUGUGCUGUAGAGAGCAUAACUCUCUCUACAGAAUUCCAAAUUGGGUGAAACCAAUUUUGUAUGAAAGCUAAAGUAUAAGGCUAUGUUUUGUAAAAUUUUCAUAAUUUUUGGAGUGCACGUUUAGUACCGGAAUUAUCUGCAAGUUUGCUAU
rnacentral:lncRNA from 1 species